rnacentral:rRNA from 1 species
AAGAUUCCGUAGCCACCGAAGUCGUUAAAUACAGGGACACAGGAACAUAGCCUAACCCCACCGUUGGUUGAGUGGGGCGUAAGGGAGCGAAAAUUAGUAGCGAAGUAGGUGAUUGUACACUGGCGAGAAAAGCUGUAUGAAUUGACAAGGUGCCCGUACCGCAAACCGACACAGGUAGAUGAGGAGAGAAUCCUAAGACCAGCGGGAGAAGUGUUGUUAAGGAACUCGGCAAAAUGACCCCGUAACUUCGGGAUAAGGGGAGCCUACGCGAGUAGGCCGCAGAGAAUAGUCUCAAGCGACUGUUUAGCAAAAACACAGGUCUAUGCUAAAUCGAAAGAUGAUGUAUAUGGGCUGACGCCUGCCCGGUGCUGGAAGGUUAAGGGGAAGUGUUAGAGCAAUCGAAGCACUGAACUUAAGCCCCAGUAAACGGCGGCCGUAACUAUAACGGUCCUAAGGUAGCGAAAUUCCUUGUCAGGUAAGUUCUGACCCGCACGAAUGGCGUAACGACUUGAGAGCUGUCUCAACAACAUACCCGGCGAAAUUGAAGUACUGGUAAAGAUGCCAGUUACCCGUGAUAAGACGGAAAGACCCCAUGGAGCUUUACUGUAACUUGAUAUUGAAUUUUUGUAUUACAUGUACAGGAUAGGUGGGAGACAGAGAACUAAUGCCGCCAGGUGUUAGGGAGUCGAUGUUGGGAUACCACUCUUGUAAUAUGAAGGUUCUAACCUGCACCCGUGAAUCCGGGUGGGGGACACUGUCAGGUGGACAGUUUGACUGGGGCGGUCGCCUCCUAAAAGGUAACGGAGGCGUUCAAAGGUUGGUUCAGCACGGACGGAAAUCGUGCAACGAGUGCAAACGCAUAAACCAGCCUAACUGCGAGACCGACAAGUCGAGCAGUAACGAAAGUUGGAGUUAGUGAUCCGGCGGUAUGAGAGUGGAAUUGCCGUCGCUCAACGGAUAAAAGCUACCCUGGGGAUAACAGGCUGAUCUCCCCCAAGAGUCCACAUCGACGGGGAGGUUUGGCACCUCGAUGUCGGCUCAUCGCAUCCUGGAGCUGUAGUCGGUUCCAAGGGUUGGGCUGUUCGCCCAUUAAAGCGGUACGCGAGCUGGGUUCAGAACGUCGCGAGACAGUUCGGUCCCUAUCUAUCACGGGCGUAGGAAAUUUGAGGAGAGCUGACCUUAGUACGAGAGGACCGGGUUGGACGUACCGCUGGUGCACCUGUUGUUCUGCCAAGGGCAUAGCAGGGUAGCUAAGUACGGACGGGAUAAACGCUGAAGGCAUCUAAGCGUGAAGCCCCCUUCGAGAUAAGAUUUCCCAUAGCGUAGGCUAGUAAGGACCCAUGAAGACUACAUGGUUGAUAGGCCGGAGGUGGAAGUGCAGUAAUGUAUGCAGCUGACCGGUACUAAUAGUCCGAGGGCUUGACCAA